UGGUCAAGUUAUUAAGGGUGCAGGGCGGAUGCCUUGGCACUAGGAGCCGAUGAAGGACGUGAUAAGCUGCGAUAAGCUUCGGGGAGUUGCACGUAAACUUUGAUCCGAAGAUUUCCGAAUGAGGAAACUCACUUAGAGUAAUGUCUAAGUAUCAUUAAGUGAAUACAUAGCUUAAUGAGGGGAACUCAGGGAACUGAAACAUCUAAGUACCUGAAGGAAGAGAAAGAAAUUCGAUUCCGUAAGUAGCGGCGAGCGAACGCGGAUUAGCCCAAACCAAUAAAGUUUUCUUUAUUGGGGUUGCGGACAUAUCAUAACGAAGAGGUAUCGUAAUUGAAGAGGUUUGGAAAGACCCACCACAGAAGGUAAUAGUCCUGUAUGUUAAACGAGAAGACUUUAGAUAUGAUCCAGAGUACCACGGGACACGUGAAACCCUGUGGGAAGCAGGAGGGACCACCCUCCAAGGCUAAAUACUACCUAGUGACCGAUAGCGUAUAGUACCGUGAGGGAAAGGUGAAAAGAACCCCGGGAGGGGAGUGAAAUAGAACCUGAAACCCUGCACUUACAAGCUGUGGAAGCACAUUUCUUGUGUGACCGCGUACUUUUUGUAGAACGGGCCAACGAGUUACGUUAAGUAGCAAGGUUAAGCACUUAAGGUGCGGAGCCGUAGCGAAAGCGAGUUUUAACUGAGCGUUCAGUUACUUGACGUAGACCCGAAACCGGGCGACCUACCCAUGAGCAGGAUGAAGCGAAAGUAAAAUUUCGUGGAGGUCCGAACCCACGAGCGUUGAAAAGCUCGGGGAUGACUUGUGGGUAGCGGUGAAAUUCCAAUCGAGCCCGGAGAUAGCUGGUUCUCCCCGAAAUAGCUUUAGGGCUAGCCUCAAGGUGAGAGAUACGGAGGUAGAGCACUGAAUGUCCUAGGGGGUAUUGCACCUACCGAAGACUAUCAAACUCCGAAUGCCGUCAUCUUAUACUUGGGAGUCAGACUGUGGGUGAUAAGAUUCAUAGUCGAAAGGGCAACAGCCCAGAUCGUCAGCUAAGGUCCCUAAAUGUAAGUUAAGUGGUAAAGGAUGUGGGAUUGCACAGACAACCAGGAUGUUGGCUUAGAAGCAGCCACUCAUUCAAAGAGUGCGUAAUAGCUCACUGGUCGAGUGAUCCUGCGCCGAAGAUUUCCGGGGCUAAAACUUACUACCGAAGCUACGGCAUCAGUAAUGAUGGGUAGGGGAGCUUCCCAUACGGGUUGAAGCAUGACCGUAAGGACAUGUGGACAGUAUGGGAGUGAGAAUGUUGGCAUGAGUAGCGAGAUGUGGGUGAGAAUCCCACAGGCCGUAAACCCAAGGU
rnacentral:rRNA from 1 species